rnacentral:misc_RNA from 1 species
GAUGAAGAACGUAGCGAAAUGCGAUAAGUAAUGUGAAUUGCAGAAUUCAGUGAAUCAUCGAAUCUUUGAACGCACAUUGCGCCCGCCAGCAUUCUGGCGGGCAUGCCUGUUCGAGCGUCAUUUCAACCCUCGAGCCCCCCCGGGGGCCUCGGUGUUGGGGGACGGCACACCAGCCGCCCCCGAAAUGCAGUGGCGACCCCGCCGCAGCCUCCCCUGCGUAGUAGCACACACCUCGCACCGGAGCGCGGAGGCGGUCACGCCGUAAAACGCCCAACUUUCUUAGAGUUGACCUCGGAUCAGGUAGGGAUACCCGCUGAACUUAAGCAUAUCAUAAGCGGAGGA